rnacentral:rRNA from 1 species
GGGAGAGGGAGCCUGAGAAACGGCUACCACAUCCAAGGAAGGCAGCAGGCGCGCAAAUUACCCACUCCCAGCUCGGGGAGGUAGUGACGAAAAAUAACGAUACGGAACUCUUACGAGGCUCCGUAAUCGGAAUGAGUACACUUUAAAUCCUUUAACGAGGAUCUAUUGGAGGGCAAGUCUGGUGCCAGCAGCCGCGGUAAUUCCAGCUCCAAUAGCGUAUAUUAAUUUUGUUGCGGUUAAAAAGCUCGUAGUUGGAUCUCGGUUUCGGGCGAGUGGUGUACCUUGCGGUAUUUACUGUUUGCCCGGACGAUUUUGUUGGUUCGUUUAUGGUUCUCUUAACCGAGUGCCAUAAGUGGCCAGCACGUUUACUUUGAAAAAAUUGGAGUGCUCAAAGCAGGCGCUACAGCCUGAACAUUAGUGCAUGGAAUAAUGGAAUAGGAUCUCGGUUCUAUUUCGUUCGCUUUCGGAGUCGAGGUAAUGAUUAAUAGGGACAGACGGGGGCAUUCGUACUGCGACGUUAGAGGUGAAAUUCUUGGAUCGUCGCAAGACGAACUACUGCGAAAGCAUUUGCCAAGAAUGUUUUCAUUAAUCAAGAACGAAAGUUAGAGGUUCGAAGGCGAUCAGAUACCGCCCUAGUUCUAACCAUAAACGAUGUCGACCGGCGAUCCGUUAUCGUUAACUGAAUGACUUAACGGGCAGCCUCCGGGAAACCAGAGUGUUUGGAUUCCGGGGGAAGUAUGGUUGCAAAGCUGAAACUUAAAGGAAUUGACGGAAGGGCACCACCAGGAGUGGAGCCUGCGGCUUAGUUUGACUCAACACGGGAAAUCUCACCAGGCCCGGACACCGGAAGGAUUGACAGAUUGAGAGCUCUUUCUUGAUUCGGUGGGUGGUGGUGCAUGGCCGUUCUUAGUUGGUGGAGCGAUUUGUCUGGUUAAUUCCGAUAACGAACGAGACUCUGGCCUACUAACUAGACGUUAGAUCCCUUUGUGGGUCUAUCGCAGCUUCUUAGAGGGACGGGCGGCGUUUAGCCGCACGAGAUUGGGCAAUAACAGGUCUGUGAUGCCCUUAGAUGUUCUGGGCUGCACGCGCGCUACACUGAAGGAAUCAGCGUGUGUUCCCUACCCGAAAGGGUUGGGAAACCCGUUGAACCUCCUUCGUGAUGGGGAUUGGGGAUUCAAUUAUUCCCCAUGAACGAGGAAUUCCCAGUAGGCGCGAGUCAUAAGCUUGCGUCGAUUACGUCCCUGCCCUUUGUACACACCGCCCGUCGCUACUACCGAUCGAGUGAUUUAGUGAGGCCUUCGGACUGGUCUUCAGUAUGGCUUUCGGGUCGUGUUGGAGUACCGGAAAGAUGACCAAACUUGAUCACUUAGAGGAAGUAAAAGUCGUAACAAGGUU